GAAGGUGGUGCGCAAGCUGUUCGAGCUCGACCUCGGCACGCGCCAGUGGGGCGAGGCGUCGUCGCACCCGGACGCGCCCAUGGACCCCAACGCGGCGUUCGCCGCCGGCGGGGACACCAUCUACUCCGUGGAGAUGUUCAGGAUCUUCGGCAAGGUGCUUGACUUCGUGACGGCGUGCCGGGUCUCCGACACCGACGACCGCAGGUGGUGCCGGCUUGCCCGGAAGAACGCCGCCGCCGACGCCGCCGCCAUGUCCAGCCGGCUGAAAUCCAUGGCGGCGCUGCACCUGUAAUUACAGCUUACAAUCUUACAUUUUUUACAUCAAAACCAAUGUUUGACAAUUUGUUAGUGUAAUUGACAUUUGGCAUCAUCUCUCUCCACCGAUUCGUUGUUCGUUUUCCCUGAUUGGACAAGCCAUUGCUGUGAUUAUCCAUACUGUUGUAUUGUUCUUUCGGUUUGGUUUGGUUUAUAUACAAGAUGUGAUCUUUCUAUGAUCCUGAUGUAAUUUACUGUCAAUUUUUUUAGCUGAUGAUGACACAUCUGUUCUUGGCUUGUUGCUUUUGUCCAGAGUUUGCUGAAGUAGCCAACUUGGCUGGGCUUUUAUUGAGAAAUUAGUUGUCCAAUCCCUUUCGAAAAUGCAACUAUUACAAAAGCUUGUGCCGGUGAUUAUAGUGGUAUGAUUACUCUCCAUCCGGUUGGUACAGCUCUCCAGCGAGGCCGUGGGUUUCUUUCAUAGAAUCGGCCAUGAAAGCAUAUGGUUGCGCCACAAUUAUUAUGGAUUUUUGCAAGGCUGUAUGCUAGUAGAUUCGGUUGGUUGGCUUUUAGGAUGUUGUGCGUAUAGGGCAGGGUAUCACAAGAUGUCGACUUGUUUCGGGUUCUGGAUGUGUCCUUGGGGAGGCAUCAACAUUCUGUCAUGUCUAGAAAGUAAGAAAUCACCCUUUCACAAAACUAUAUGUGCACAAAACUUACAAUAUCCGCUCCAAAAUACAAUUAUUUUUAGAUUGUUUAGCAUAUAUUAAAGAGAUAUCAGAAGAUUUUUUUAGUCACUUGAUUAUUAAUUUUUGAAUUUUAAAUUAAUUAGAUUCACUUUUUAAACAUCCGGUUAGUUCUGAAAUCUUUGGAAUGAUUGAAAUCAUAUGAAUCAAUGAAAAAAUGCUCAUGCUAUGGUACAAAAUUUGAAUCCUAUAAAUGUUUAUAUAAAUGUUUAUAUUUUGAGACAGGGAGUACACGUGCAUGCUGAUUUAGACUAUUUUGGAGGCUUCUUUUGUUCAAUGAAAAAUUGUGUACUUGUACUCAUUUGGUGUUAUGAACUAAAAAAGAAUUGUCAUGAACAUCUGUACUUAGAAAAAGAGGUAAGGUAGGGAAAGGACUGACCUGUCACUCAUCCAAAGUGUACGGUAGUAUAGAUCUGUCUGCUUGUUUCCUUCUUAUUAAUAAAUCUCCGAACCACUGUAGUAGUCUAU
rnacentral:lncRNA from 1 species